rnacentral:lncRNA from 1 species
ACUGCUGCACUCAAGUGGUGUUGGCUUUAACAUCGCAUAUGUCUGAGCUAGCAAUGGAUGGUAGAGGCCUCACUCGAAUUAUUAUUUCGAUGUUGGAUCCGAUCUAAAAUAGUAAGGACAAAGAAGUCUACCUAUCAAAGUACAUCUAGUGGGGAAUCUUCGAUGCCUAAGUCAAAUAUGAGUGUUAGGGAAUAGAAGGAG